rnacentral:pre_miRNA from 1 species
GCAUAUUUCAUGUUUGUGCAUGAAUCUAACAUAUGAUCCUUGGGGUGUGUUAGAUUCACGCACAAACAUGUAAUAUGUCU